GUCUACGGCCAUACCACCCUGAACGCGCCUGAUCUCGUCUGAUCUCGGAAGCUAAGCAGGGUCGGGCCUGGUUAGUACUUGGAUGGGAAACAUCUCCCUUCGGCUCAGGUCAUGAACC
rnacentral:rRNA from 1 species